GCAGGAGUAUGAAACUACAGAAACCCUAACUGAUGCCACAAGAAGACAAAUGGUGAACAUACUGGUGGCUCACAUGAUUGAUGAACAAGGGCACCUCCCCACAAAAGCAAUCAGAGAGAAGUAUGCCUUUGGAAUAGUGACAAAGGCAUCCCUCAAGGAUCCAUACACCAAAAAAGGCAAUGAGCACUUUUAUGAUGCAGCAAGCAGCACUGGAUACAUUUCAUGGCGUCUUAAAACGGUCCUAAGGAAGAUUCAAAGAGGAUCUCUUGUGCCAUCAAGUAGCACCAAUUACAUUUCAUCUGGAGGCCCAAAUAUACAGAGAACUGUGAUUGUUGAAAAACAGCUUGAUGGGAAUGCCUGCCAGGAGGCCAUAUCUCUGCUUAACCACACCACAGACAGGUCCGUGAUCUUUCAGAAGAUGAGAGAGACUUUUGAGCACCGUCACAAGCUUAUUAAAGAUGCCAGUGGAAGAAAUGAUAUAUCCUGACCACAUUCCCGGGGUUCCUGGACACAAAAGGAUUGAUUGAUCAAGACUUCCGUCUCCUAUUCAGUGAAGAAACCUCAUCCAGACUGCUGCAGAAG